rnacentral:rRNA from 1 species
UACGGAGGGGGCGAGCGUUAUUCGGAAUUAUUGGGCGUAAAGGGCGCUAAGGGGGCCCGGUAAGUCAAAGGUGAAAUCCCUCGGCUCAACUGAGGAACUGCCUUUGAAACUGUCGGGCUUGAGGCCGGGAGGGGGUAGCGGAAUUCCCAGUGUAGCGGUGAAAUGCGUAGAUACUGGGAGGAACACCAGUGGCGAAGGCGGCUACCUGGACCGGUUCUGACGCUGAUGCGCGAAAGCGUGGGUAGCAAACAGG